rnacentral:rRNA from 1 species
CUACGUGCCAGCAGCCGCGGUAAUACGUAGGUGGCAAGCGUUGUCCGGAAUUAUUGGGCGUAAAGCGCGCGCAGGCGGAUCAGUCAGUCUGUCUUAAAAGUUCGGGGCUUAACCCCGUGAUGGGAUGGAAACUGCUGAUCUAGAGUAUCGGAGAGGAAAGUGGAAUUCCUAGUGUAGCGGUGAAAUGCGUAGAUAUUAGGAAGAACACCAGUGGCGAAGGCGACUUUCUGGACGAAAACUGACGCUGAGGCGCGAAAGCCAGGGGAGCGAACGAGAUUAGAUACCCCGGUAGUCCUGGCCGUAAACGAUGGGUACUAGGUGUAGGAGGUAUCGACCCCUUCUGUGCCGGAGUUAACGCAAUAAGUACCCCGCCUGGGGAGUACGACCGCAAGGUUGAAACUCAAAGGAAUUGACGGGGGCCCGCACAAGCGGUGGAGUAUGUGGUUUAAUUCGACGCAACGCGAAGAACCUUACCAGGUCUUGACAUUGAKGACAGAACUAGAGAUAG